AUGAAAAGCCACCAUUAAAGCUUGCAUACAAGCUUUAAUUCUUCCACUCAAUUCUCAUAACUCCCCUAAAAUACCCUACUAAAGCUUGUUAUUACUACUAAGAAGGAGAUUACAAGGAAAAAGAAGAGCAAAAGUUAGGGUUUUGAAGAUUUAAGAAAGUUGAAAAGAAUAUCGGGAAGGAACCCGAGGAACCGAGUCGAGGCUAAAGGACGACUCGUUUGAGAUACAGAGAUUAGAGGAGCAGCAGACUGAGCUGCUGAGGUGUGUGAAGUCAUUAGCUUGAAGUCUUCGGGUAUAAUUUAUACCCUAA